rnacentral:misc_RNA from 1 species
GGUUGCUGGUCACUCAGCUCCUCUCAAAUGCAUUAGCUGGAACCUUAUGUGUAUCUCCGGUGUGAUAAUAUCUACUCCGUCUGAUCACAAAGUUGAAGUUGCUUGCGACUGAGACUACUAGGAUCUGCUUCUAAUCGUCCUACUCAGGACAAUCAUUGACAUCUGACCUCAAAUCAGGUAGGACUACCCGCUGAACUUAA